CCGCCGCAACCUCAAGCUUCUCGAUCAGCUGAAAUCAUACGAUCAUCACUUG
rnacentral:ribozyme from 1 species